ACUCGUUCCCGUACGAUCACCGAAGUUGAGCAACGUCGAGUCUGGCCAGUACCUAGAUGGGUGACCGCUUGAGAAAACCAGGGGUU